CCUACGGGAGGCAGCAGUGAGGAAUAUUGGUCAAUGGACGAGAGUCUGAACCAGCCAAGUAGCGUGAAGGAUGACUGCCCUAUGGGUUGUAAACUUUUUUUAUAAAGGAAUAAAACGCGGCACGUGUGCCCUUUUGCAUGUACUUUAUGAAUAAGGAUCGGCUAACUCCGUGCCAGCAGCCGCGGUAAUACGGAGGAUCCGAGCGUUAUCCGGCUUUAUUGGGUUUAAAGGGAGCGUAGAUGGGUUGUUAAGUCAGUUGUGAAAGUUUGCGGCUCAACCGUAAAAUUGCAAUUGAUACUGGCAGUCUUGAGUGCAGUUGAGGUAGGCGGAAUUCGUGGUGUAGCGGUGCAAUGCUUAGAUAUCACGAAGAACCCCGAUUGCGAAGGCAGCUUACUAAACUGUGACUGACAUUGAUGCUCGAAAGUGUGGGUAUCAAACAGGAUUAGAUACCCUUGUAGUC
rnacentral:rRNA from 1 species